AUUGAACGCUGGCGGCAGGCCUAACACAUGCAAGUCGAACGAGUGGCGGACGGGCGAGUAAUGUCUGGGAAACUGCCCGAUGGAGGGGGCUAACGACUGGAAAAGGUAGCUAAUACCGCAUAACCUCGGAUGUGCCCAUGUGGGAUUAGCUCGUGGUUGGGGUAAUGGCUCACCUAGGCGACGAGCCCCAGCUGGUCUGAGAGGAUGACCAGCCACACUGGAACUGAGACACGGUCCAGACUCCUACGGGAGGCAGCAGUGGGGAAUAUUGCACAAUGGGCGCAAGCCUGAUGCAGCCAUGCCGCGUGUAUGAAGAAGGCCUUCGGGUUGUAAAGUACUUUCGUCGGGGAGGCGUUACCCACAGAAGAAGCACCGGCUAACUCCGUGCCAGCAGCCGCGGUAAUAC
rnacentral:rRNA from 1 species